UCGGUGGGGAUCGCAUACAGAAAGAGAAAGCGAGGGGAUGAGCCGCGUUUUAUGCGAUUCCGUGAAAUGGAUUCCCGCAUAAUGUUUUUUUUUUAAUGCAGGAAUAUUCGGCAUGCUAUUCAUUUUACUUUUAAAGUGGUGAAACUGGACAUGGGAGUGCUGGCAAUGCUUGUGAAUGGGACAGAAAUGAGGUUUGCUUUGAUGGACACGUGGAAUAUUUGACGGCCCGUUUGCAGAUGUUUGACCAUCGGUGACUGUCCGGGUUGGUGAUUAUUGGUUAUUGGGUUAUUAUUUAUUGUGUAACGAGGGCAGCGGCAGUCAUCCGCAAUGGGGACUGGAGCAGUCUACACUGUUUGUCCAUGUUGAUGAGGGUCUGGAUCUGUUUAGCUUCCUCUGUUGUUCCUUUCUCCCUCAUCCUAAAUUCACCUUCUUUCCUCCUCUCCCUCAAUCUUUGUCCCUAACUCCCCCACCCAUUCUAACCCUCCCUCUCCUGUAAUUUAUGAACGCAAGUUGGUUCGCUAAUUAAAGGCGUGUUUGAUAGUGUUCCGCUCAGCGUUGGUGAGUUAGUGUUGUAUGUGUAAAGAAUAUGCUAUUAAUAUGCUACUUGCUUCUCUUAAGGUAUUUGUGGUAUAUUUUCUAUCGUUCAUGUGUUUUGUAUUUUCAAAAAUCGAAUGUUCUGUCUAAGACCAUGGCAUGUUUAAUUCCAGUUUCGCCUUUUUUUUUUUUAGGAAGCAUGUUCAUUUUAAUUGUAUUAUAAUUAAUAUAGGGCAGAUGGUUGAUAUUGAUGGUUAGAGUUUAUUAUUACCUUGUCCAAUAAAUUACUAAUCAUGUAUUUGGUAAACGAACUAAUCAGUUAGUAUUUAUGUUUUACAAUUUUAUUGAUUAAUGUUUACAUAUUUUUUGUGUUCAUUAAUUCUUUGUUAUCACUGAUGACAAGCUAGCACUCGGCUCUGAAAGACGCCAACACCAUCUGUCCAGCUACAGAAAGAGCUAUGCUUGUUUGUCUUCCCUCAGCCAAACCAGCCCCUGCAAACAGCAACAUCCCUUUGUGUUGGAUUGAUUUUUCUCUCUCGCUCUUACCGCCCUGGAUGUUUUGGGAGUUUGAUAGCCAGCAUCAUGAUGUCAUGUGGGUGUCUGGGCUGCAGAGGAGACCACUGCUGUGGCUUUCCACCACUCCAGAGCCUGCUUAAAAGCAAAGCCCAGCAGGAGCCAAAAUCAGGGUCAGAAGACCAUCCAAUGCAGGUGGGAGAAGAGAGUGAUUCUAUCCUGGAUUGUAUGCCGCAGCAGAGGUCAGAGGUGGAGAGGUGGGCAGCAAAGUAGUGGCAGAUACCUUAGAAGCGGUUGGAGGAGUGGUGUGGAGGACCAAAGACGUUGAAGACACAGAGGUCUGCAGAGGUAAUUGAGGGCCA